rnacentral:rRNA from 1 species
ACGAACGCUGGCGGCGUGCCUAAUACAUGCAAGUCGAGCGAAUCAAUGGGAGCUUGCUCCCUGAGAUUAGCGGCGGACGGGUGAGUAACACGUGGGUAACCUGCCUGUAAGAUUGGGAUAACUCCGGGAAACCGGAGCUAAUACCGGAUAACAUUUUGAACCGCAUGGUUUGAAAUUGAAAGACGGCUUUUAGCUGUCACUUACAGAUGGACCCGCGGCGCAUUAGCUAGUUGGUGAGGUAACGGCUCACCAAGGCAACGAUGCGUAGCCGACCUGAGAGGGUGAUCGGCCACACUGGGACUGAGACACGGCCCAGACUCCUACGGAGCAGCAGUAGGGAAUCUUCCGCAAUGGACGAAAGUCUGACGGAGCAACGCCGCGUGAACGAUGAAGGCCUUCGGGUCGUAAAGUUCUGUUGUUAGGGAAGAACAAGUACAGAGUAACUGCUGGUACCUUGACGGUACCUAACCAGAAGCCACGGCUAACUACGU